rnacentral:rRNA from 1 species
CCUACGGGAGGCAGCAGUGAGGAAUAUUGGUCAAUGGGCGAGAGCCUGAACCAGCCAAGUCGCGUGAGGGAGUACUGCCCUAUGGGUUGUAAACCUCUUUUGUCGGGGAGCAAAAGCCGGACGUUUCCGGCUUUGAGAGUACCCGAAGAAAAAGCAUCGGCUAACUCCGUUCCAGCAGCCGCGGUAAUUCGGAGGAUGCAAGCGUUAUCCGGUUUUAUUGGGGUUAAAGGGUGCGCAGGCGGAUUUUUAAGUCAGCGGUAAAAUCGUGGGGCUCAACCACAUCCAGCCGUUGAAACUGGGGAUCUAGAGUGUGCGGGAGGUAGGCGGAAUGCGUGGUGUAGCGGUGAAAUGCAUAGAUAUCACGAAGAACCCCGAUUGCGAAGGCAGCAUACCGGUGCACAACUGACGCUCAGGCACGAAAGCGUGGGUAUCGAACAGGAUUAGAUACCCGAGUAGUC